rnacentral:tRNA from 1 species
UCUAUUUUGGCAGAUUAGUGCAAUAGAUUUAGAAUCUGGGAAUGUAAAAAUUGUUUUACAAAUAGAA